UAUAGCUCAUAUAUAUAUAUAUAUAUAUAUAUAUAUAUAUAUAUAUAUAUUAAGAUAAGAUUAAGAGGAAGGAAGCAAAGUGUUGGCAGCGAAAUUGGAGGAAGAAAAAGUAAGAAAAAGAAAAAGAGAAAAAGGAAAAAAGAAGAAAAGAAAGGAAAAUUGGUUACGGGUCCACUAGGAAUUUUUGUGGUCAAAAUUCCAUGUUGCUUGGCUGGUCACGUGGCCUUGUUUUAUGCUGGCUAAUGAGUUUUUUUGAUAAGUGAUUCUAUUGAAAGUAAAGUAAUGAGAUAAAGGUGGAAGAAAGAAAUGGGUGGCGGGGUUCAUUUUUUUUGAUUAAUUGUAUUUGGCCUUGAAAAUUUUCACGUGGUGAUGUUUUUAGAUAGAUUGAAAUUGUUGUAGGAUCUAUGAAUGAUAAGAAAGUAAGAUAAAAAGUGAGAUAUUAUUGUAUUGUGUCGGUGGAAGUAAGUGAGCAGUUUUGAUAUUUUGUUUAUGUUGGUGCACUACCUAUUUAAUGAGUGCUUGUGCACACUGAUUGUAAAUGAUAUAGAGAAGUGCACAAGAGAGCCGAGAGUUUACAGACUGAAUCGAGAGCUCCCAGAGAUGGAUUUGAUGACUUGUUUAUUUUCACAGAUUUCAGGUACCGAGGAUAAGCUUGGAUUGCUAGUUGCGGGAUUAGGUGGAAGAGUAGGAAUUGAGGAAUUAAAUUAUUUUAUAUAGAGAUUUUUAUGUAUUCAUUUGAGGAAAUUGAUUUAGUAUCAAUUUAAUUAAUUUGAGAUGCUGUCUUAUUUAUUUGAGGAAAUUUGAUUGAUUUUGUAUCAAUAAAGGGUAUUUUAUUUCUUUUGAGAUCGUAGGUGUCU